UAGUAGAAAUCUCAAAGGUGUUCUGAGAACUGGAUGUAGGUCAAGUGGUUAAGACUGAACCAGUAUAAACUCUUGUGUAAUUCAUUUUCAA